AAUAUUCAGUCUAUUUUUUCAUUCAAGGGUAGAAAUAAUAGAAGAGAGUACACUUUUGUUAUCAUCAUCAGCAACAACAGCUGUCCCACUACCACAGCUCUCACAGACCAUCUAGGGAACCAACUGCUGUAAAGAAGCCAUCAAGAAUCUCAGCAUCUCAUACCAUACACCAAGAUAAAUUCAGAAUGGCCUAGCCUCUACAAAUAUCACCAACAACUAAUGAAGAAAUGACACCCAAAGGCAAGUAAAUAAAAUAGCCUAUUUAAGAAGUAAAAUGUUCCCCCACUCUUAAGACCAUGUUUUCUGCUUCCAGGCCAACCCUUAGAGACAUCAACUGGAGAAGCAAUUGUAAAAAAGUUCCAAAGACCUAACUCCACACUGACUAUCUGGUUACAUGCUUGGAAAAGAAUUGCCACAUGCCUAGAGAAAUCCUCUAGCAUAUCUUUGUGAGGAGUAAGAAGGACCAAGAGAAAGUAAUUACAAUAUAAAUAGUUCUUCACAUAUUAAACAUUAAUCUUGGACACUAACAUUAAUGGCUGUGAGUCAACUUGUAUUGUACUGUAUUAAGAUGUACAAAUAUUUCAAUAAACAAAUUAACUGGCU
rnacentral:lncRNA from 1 species